AAUGAACGCUGGCGGCGCGCCUAAUACAUGCAAGUCGAGCGAGAAGACGUAGCAAUACGUUUGUAAAGCGGCGAACGGGUGAGGAAUACAUGGGUAACCUACCCUCGAGUGGGGAAUAACUAGCCGAAAGGUUAGCUAAUACCGCGUACGCUUCUUGGACUUCGGUUCAGGGAGGAAAGCGAUGCCGAGGGUAUCGCGCUCUUGGAUGGGCUCAUGUCCUAUCAGCUUGUUGGGAGGUAACGGCUCACCAAGGCCUCGACGGGUAGCUGGUCUGAGAGGACGAUCAGCCACACUGGCACUGCGACACGGGCCAGACUCCUACGGGAGGCAGCAGUAAGGAAUAUUGCGCAAUGGGCGAAAGCCUGACGCAGCGACGCCGCGUGGGGGAGUGAA
rnacentral:rRNA from 1 species